ACCCUGCGCGAGGUCGAGGCUCCGCGGGGUCACAGGGCAUCACCUAUUGUUCCGCACUUCAAAACAGAUAAACGUUUUUUUAAUCUAGGUUGGCCAUGGGGCCCUGUUUCUCAGGAAAAAUCUGGUACUACGAGUGUUAUGGGCCAGUUGGACUUCCUAUGUUGUAGACUAUAUGAAUAAGACGUAUAUGUUAGAAAUAAACGGAGCCAAUGAUCAUCUUUUCCUGGAUGAAAGGACUUCAAAUAUUCGCUCUCAACUCGACUGGGAGGGGAGUCUUCCGUUUUUCACAAUGGUCUGUAAAAGUUACAGUCCUCAUCCAUGUGAAAGAACAUAACUAAGGUCAAGAAAGGACAUGACUGUGUUUGGGCUUCUUCUGUCCUACAUCUCUUGAGGUCUUGAAGCAUUAUCAUUUGUGUUCUGCAGAAGAAAGAAGGUCCUAUACAUUUGGAACGACGUGAGGGGUGUCCUGAGCGUGUCCUGAGCUUAUAAAGUUGCGAUCUACUAUAAAGCAAGAAGAAGAAGAAGACAUGUCAGGCGCUGGCUGUUGAGAACGCAUUCAGGAUGCGCUCAGGACUGUUCUUAGUUUCAUACUGAAGAAACAAAGUCACCUACAUGUCGGAUGCCCUGCGGGUGAGCAGAUAAACAUAACAUUUUCAUUUUUGGGUGAUCUAUCCCUUUAAGGCUAUAGAUACAUACAGUAGAGAGCUAUUCACAGGGUUAUGCUGUUUUAAAGCAUGUAGCACAACCAAUUGCUGUUUUUAUAAUCUCUGAAGCAUUUGACCAGGCGGCUCGUAUUUGUUUGCAUUAAUUAGAUAUUCACCAUUUAACUUUUUUAUAUAUAUUUCUCUUCUUUUUAUUAUUUUUAAUGUGAUUUACAUUGUAAAUUAUUUUCCACUGCUUUCGCUUCACAGAAACGUUGUCUUUUUCAGGCUGCACUAUCUAAUUCUGCGAUGUGGGAGCUCAUGCUAAGGAUUAGCAUUAGUCAGGGGUUGUCCUGCAGAGAGAAAACUGAACAUUGGUAUAAAUAUCAAAGGCAUGACUGUGUGUGACACUGACAAAUUGCAGUGGAGGUGCCAUUAAUUAAACGGGAUCAGUAAUGUGUGUUUAAAUGAAUUUACUGUUGCAUUAUUGAUUCACUCGCCGCACAAAUUAUCUUUCGAGGUGCAUAUGGAGGUUGUGGGUCUGGCUCCCCGUGAAGGAUUUGUCAGGGUGAGGUCUUUGGACGUCAUCUAGGCCUAAGGAUGUAUCCUUCCCCAUUUAUCUGGCGAGGAAAGCCUGGGGGGAUAGAGGGGGGUGGCGGAGCUUGCCGGCUUUGUUUGCAUUCAAACUGCAGAUAACAAGGAAGCCCGAGCGGCGGCUCAGAGAAAUCACUGGCGCUGCCCAUGCUGCCAGACUGAACGGUGAAUUAGAGAGGAAAACACUGGCAGCAUGCUGAAGCUUCCUCUAUCUGUGUUUAUUUUGCCUAUACAAACCAUUUGGGUGCAAGAUAAAGUCUGUCUUUACCUUGUCGGCAUGCGGAAAAUAGAUUUUUCGAGGGGGUGGAAUUGAAAUGAUUGCUUUUCUUUCCUCUUUCUAAUGUAAUAAAUGAAUGCAAAUUCUAAAUUUAAUCAGACCAUAAAAGCACAUAGCUAACAAAGCCCCUCACAGCUGUAACACAGAUCUGAAUUAUGUUCGAUUACAUCUAUACAGGCUUUGCAAUGCAUUAAACUCCAACUAGGCCUGUGACAUUUUCUUUGCAUUGUUCCUGAGGGCGAGAUCGAGUCUGUCCAUGCAUCCCAGCAUGCCCCAGGGCCCUGGCUGAGCGAGGGAGAAAGCGCAUUAACACGCAGCAAUUUGUCAGGACAGCAGUCCUCUCUGAAUUGCAGUUCAUUGACAGGUCCAAGUCCAGGUCCAGGUUAAGCAUGACCAGGUGCAGAGAAAAGUCUUCUUGCUUCCUCUCAGCUGAUUAGUGGAGCCGGUUGAUUGGUGCAAAUGAGGAAGCUUUUAUCCUGCUUGAGUAUAAUCUGCUUGCAUCUUUAUUGGCUAAAAGCAGGCAUGAUGCUGGCAUGACCCAGGCUGGCCCAGGUACUGUCCUUAGAAAGGGUACUGACACUAAUGUCUUCUGACACACACAUCCCCCAUGCCCUUCAUGUUAAAGGUACACACACAGACAUGCUGCAGAAAAAAAAUAUCCAAACCUUAUGCAUGCACUUCUUUAAUUACACUUCUUUUGUGAAAAAUAUUUGUUAUAAUAUACAUCAUAUUAAACUGCACAUUCUUAGUGAAUGCACGCAGGAACGUUCAGCGCUUUGGAGCUGUUGGCUUUGGCGUAAUGGCUGCCUGUUUCCUUCUCAUCUUCUUUUGUCCUUAAAGGACGCUGCCUUGCCUAGCUGCACAGAUCCUUGGAGCAUCUUUCCUAUCUGUCUGUCCCUCUCUGUGCUGCAACACAGCCUGUUAUUUCAAAGAAAGUGCAACCUUUGCCUUGGGCCUUAAUUAUGUUCAAUUUGCCAACCCGAGCCUGAAAAAUUCAGAGGGUAAAAAAGCUCUAUGACCUAUUUAUUAAUGCUGCGUUGGGUUUAAAGCUAUACUGAGAUCAGCACUGCAUCACUCAACAAUAACACCCAUCUCUGGAGAACAGACUUCAAUCGCGUUGUACUCCUCUCUUACAGCGGGAAUUCAUUACUUUAUAAUAGAUCACUGGCCAAUUAAUCAUUAUUAAAAGAAAUUUGUAGUUAAGUGUGAUUUGUAAUUGGUGUAUAUUGUUGGAAUUGUA